GAUGAACGCUGGCGGCAGGCCUAACACAUGCAAGUCGAACGGUAACAGGAAGAAGCUGGCUUCUUUACUGACGCGUGGCGGACGUGUGAGACAUGUCGGGGAAACUGCUUGAUGGCGGGGGAUAACUACUGGAAACGGUAGCAAAUACCGCAUAACGUCUCAACACCAUAGAGGAAGAGCUACAGACGGCUUUGCUUCCGAUGAGCCCAGAUGGGAUUAGCUAGUAGGUGGGGUAACGGCUCACCUAGGCGACGAUCCCUAGCUGGUCUGAGAGGAUGACCAGCCACACUGGAACUGAGACACGGUCCAGACUCCUACGGGAGGCAGCAGUGGGGAAUAUUGCACAAUGGGCGCAAGCCUGAUGCAGCCAUGCCGCGUGUAUGAAGAAGGCCUUCGGGUUGUAAAGUACUUUCAGCGGGGAGGAAGGGAGUAAAGUUAAUACCCUUGCUCAUUGACGUUACCCGCAGAAGAAGCACCGGCUAACUCCGUG
rnacentral:rRNA from 1 species